GCCUUCGUGGUGUAGUGGUUCUGCACGCUGGGCUGUUAAUCCCGAGGUCCGUGGUUCGAUUCCCGGCGAAGGCG
rnacentral:tRNA from 1 species